rnacentral:rRNA from 1 species
UCGGGAAUUUUGGGCAAUGGGCGAAAGCCUGACCCAGCAACGCCGCGUGAGGGAUGAAGUAUUUCGGUAUGUAAACCUCGAAAGAAUGGGAAGAAUAAAUGACGGUACCAUUUAUAAGCUCCGGCUAACUACGUGCCAGCAGCCGCGGUAAUACGUAGGGAGCAAGCCUUGUUCGGAUUUACUGGGCGUAAAGGGCGCGUAGGCGGCGCGGUAAGUCACUUGUGAAAUCUCUGAGCUUAACUCAGAACGGCCAAGUGAUACUGCUGUGCUAGAGUGCGGAAGAGGCAACCGGAAUUCUUGGUGUAGCGGUGAAAUGCGUAGAUAUCAAGAGGAACACCUGAGGCGAAGGCGGGUUGCUGGGCCGACACUGACGCUGAUGCGCGAAAGCCAGGGGAGCAAACG